rnacentral:rRNA from 1 species
GACGAACGCUGGCGGCGUGCCUAAUACAUGCAAGUUGAGCGCUGAAGGUUGGUACUUGUACCAACUGGAUGAGCAGCGAACCGGUGAGUAACGCGUGGGGAAUCUGCCUUUGAGCGGGGGACAACAUUUGGAAACGAAUGCUAAUACCGCAUAAAAACUUUAAACACAAGUUUUAAGUUUGAAAGAUGCAAUUGCAUCACUCAAAGAUGAUCCCGCGUUGUAUUAGCUAGUUGGUGAGGUAAAGGCUCACCAAGGCGAUGAUACAUAGCCGACCUGAGAGGGUGAUCGGCCACAUUGGGACUGAGACACGGCCCAAACUCCUACGGGAGGCAGCAGUAGGGAAUCUUCGGCAAUGGACGAAAGUCUGACCGAGCAACGCCGCGUGAGUGAAGAAGGUUUUCGGAUCGUAAAACUCUGUUGGUAGAGAAGAACGUUGGUGAGAGUGGAAAGCUCAUCAAGUGACGGUAACUACCCAGAAAGGGACGGCUAACUACGUG